rnacentral:tRNA from 1 species
GGGGCCGUAGCUCAGUUGGUAGAGCGCGUCGUUCGCAAUGACGAGGUCAGGGGUUCGACCUCUCGGCUCCACCA